rnacentral:lncRNA from 1 species
AUGUUAGUAAUUUUUAUUCCAAUCUUCCACUAAAUCCAUAACUAUUGAAAAAAUUGAUUUUGACUAUUUCUUCCAAAGAAUCCCAGCUAGUUGUGAAGUAUGAUAGUUUUUAAGGUUGCUUUUCAAUGUUUAUGUGAUUUGGAAAAUUUGUAGUUACAUUCAAAAAUUUCAAUUAAAAAAAUUGAACUCUCAAACACUUAUACAAGCUUUGAAAUUGAAACUUGAAAAAUUAAAGGUGUGCUUGGUAAUGUUUUCGUUUCUUGUUUCCUGUUUCUGUUUUCAUUUUUAAAAAAAUAGAAGUGUUUGGUAACGUUUCAUGUUUCUUGUUCUAAAAAAAAUAGAAACGUUUAUCAUUUUAUAAAAAAUUGUUUGAAAAAAAAUAGUUUCUUCCGUGACUGUCAAUUACUUCUAUUAGUUUUUUUUUUUCUCAAUUAUUUUUAUUGGUUUUCUUUUCAUUUUUCUCAAAUUCUUUUUAUUAAUUUCAUUUUCUUUUUUCUCAAUUCUUUUUAUUGGUUUUCUUUUCUUUUUUUCAAUUAUUUUUCUAUUUCAUUUUCCUCUAGUAAUUUUCUUUUCUUUCUUCUUCUUUCCCAAAAUAACCACUCUCCACGUCGGUUUUUUUCUUCAUUUUCUUCCUCUUUUUUCAAUACAAAGAACACAUAUAUUUCUCUUCUUCCUCUCAUUUCCAUCUCUUUUCCAAAUAACCAUCAUCUUUCUCUUCCUCUCAUUGUCUUCACAGUCUUCCUCUUCAUCUCUCAUUGUCUUCCUCUUUGCGUGAAUUGUGUUUUCGCUGUCGAUUUUUGUCUUUCUCUUUACCAUGGGUUUCAGUCCUCCUCUUCAUUGUGGGUUUUUGUCUUCCUCUCGUAAGCUCUAUCCUUCAUAUCUCAAUCUUUCAUCUCGUUCUCCAUAAGAUUACAAGAAGACUUUCUAAUCUAUGUUUGAUAAUUUUAUUUUAUUUUUUAGGUUUAAUAGAGGACAUAUAUUUUUGUUUGAUGUUUAAUUGAAUUAAAUUUGAAUAAAAUAAAAAAUAAAUCUAAAAAAAUCAAGAAACAAGAAACAAUUAUCAAACCCGUUUUUAUCUUUUGAUCUAAUAGAAGAAGUAAGGGAAACCUAGGAACAUGAAACAAGAAAUAAGAAACAGAAAACAAGAACGUUACUAAACGUGUCCUAAAUUCAAUUUUAAUUUUGGGUAUAAGUAGAAGGAUCAUGUAUGUUUUAUUAUGAAAGUUUGUCAAUCUUGCAAUUUGCCUACCUAAAUCUCUAAGCAUUUGUCUUCUCUUAUCUAAAUUUUAGUUUUGUUUUUGAAAAAUAUAAAUUCAUAUUUGCAAAACAAUAAAGUAAAAUUAAAAUAAUAAUAAUAAUAAUAAUAAUAAAUUGAGAUAUACUUUACUUUACCUGUUCACAUGUGCCGCAACCCACCGUAGAGCAUCCCAACAGUCCUCGUAGCAGGCGGGGAUAGGAUGCUCCGGCGCGAGGCGGUAUUCAACGGAGACCGCAACGGCGUUGGCCUUGGCAGC